GGCGCUGUCCCCUCCGCCGCCAGGGAGCCCGGCCAGGCCAGGAGAGGGACCCGCACAUUGCCGACCACCGGUGCUUGUCGCCCCUCCCUCACGUUUGUGGUUUCACCUGCCUGGGGUCGAAUCUGCCCUCCUCACCUCUAAAGGAGAGGGGAGUUUGAGCUUUGCAGGGGCCGAUGGGGAGGAAACGUCCCUUUCACGCUGUUUUAUCUGUUUUGGUGUGCCACGUUGGAUUUUACUGUCCCAGUCAGGAGGCUUUGCCCAGGCAGCCAUUAAUUCGGGAAGACACUCGAUGGGUCCUUGGUAACCUCCAUGCACACUCUUCCUUUGGCCUUGGCUCCACUUCC